CGGUGGAGGAUGAAUGUGAGGAACGGGAGGGGGGUGCAUGGCGGGGGCAGCUCACUGCUCCGGGGCUGGAUCCAGAGGAUCCUCUGAUCCUCUCGUGGGGGAGAGGUUUGGAAGCUGGCGCGGAGGAAGUCAGAAAGUGGAUGUGUGGCGAAGCAGAAAGUUGGAAUCCUUAUGUCAGCUCCAGAUGACUGGAAAUGUUCCUGAUCUGUGAAACCUCAAAGUCUGGGAACCGCUGCCUUGGAAUUUAUGAAACAUUUUCAGACACAUAAUCUUACUCAUUUCCCAUCUGACAGGGUCAGCCUCUUUGACAGCAUUACAGGAAGGCUUCGAGGUGUCUCCUUGUGACCAUGUUGUGAAUGAACCAUCCCCGGCAUCUCACCUUGCAGGUGAGGAGGCUGCAUCCUGACCAUGGUCCAUCUUCUAUCUGGGGCAGGAGGUUGGGAUCCUUCAAGAUGUUGUUGAGCGUGGCUCCACCUCCACAGGAAGAUUGACAAGGCCCCUGGGAACACUGAGCUCUCCCGGCCUCGUGCAGAGAUAGAAAGCCGAGCAAGACAGACACCUUCCCCUCCGCUGCCUGUUAUAUAAAAUAAGAAGAAAGAAAGAAUGGGGGGAAAUUCAUAGGCUGGUCUAAUUCCGUUAAAUACAAAGCAGAAAAUAACAAGAAGAUCAAAGGAAGGCCAAAAGGAAGGAGACAGAAAAAUAAAAGGAGGGGGACGGAGAGCCUGGAAGGGAGGAAGUAGAGAAAGAAAAAGAAGCGGGGGAGGAUGUCCACUGAAAAUUGGCUGUCCUCUUUCUAGGUGCCUGUGGGCUACCUGCCAAAUCAAUUGAUUACAUCUGUAGGCAGAGUUGCCUUUUUAUUUCACACCAAUUUUCACGGGCAGCGUAAGAUAAAAAUGGAAGAGAUGAAGUGAAUGGGAAAAGAUGAUUGAAUGUUGAUGUAAAAAGGGAAGGUGCGAGGAAGGGGGGUGCUGGACAUGCAGUUACAAGAGCUUGCUGCAGAGGGGAUUUUGAAUCAUGUGCCCCCCACCCCUUUAUUCUUUUCUUUCCUUUAUAUGCUCUUUGAAAACCUGUCUCCUAUUCCCGGUGACCCGUUUGCCACAACCCACCUUGGCAAAAGCCAUGGAUACACCCCCAGGCCUCCAGGAAGCAGUGUGGCCCCAGAGAGCUUGGCAAGGAAUGUAUGUAGGCGGCAAAGGGCAGCUGAUCACUCACUGCAUGGCCUUAACUCAGUCUCUCCUACUCCCGAAGCCUCAGUUUCCCCACCUGGGGUGUGGUGAUAAUCAUCCACUUGGCUGUGAUACUGGGGAGUGCUAACAGGUGAGAAGUCUGAGAUGUGCUUUGCAAAAAUCAGGAACUAUAUGCAGGCUCCAUAAUCCCAGCAAACAAAAAUCAAAUCCUGCAAAUGCAAAGCAAUGGCCCGCUGUGGGAGGGUAUGUCCCAUAGUGGGCUGUCCUGGUCCACACUGGUGGGCUGUUGGAGGCUCAGUUCACUGCUAUCUCCCUGGAAGAGUCCUCCAUGUACCUGGGCAUCCGAGCUGUGUCUUCAUAGGCCAGUGGCUGGCUAUGAGGGUCUGUUUCCCAGGAACCCUUUGGUUUAGGCCUACCAUCAGGGGAUUGGGGAACAGGUUCCUGCUAAAAAUCCCUUCUGCAAAGAGCUUGCCUCCCAGGUCCUGAUACUGUUCCCCACAAUGACAUGGGCAGAGGGGGAUCUGGGGAAUCGCCUCUCCCAGCUUCCCAGGUACCAUCCCAAAGCCACCAGAAACACGACCCUCUCUGCUGAUACAAGCAGGGUUGAAGGGAGAAAGGGUUGGCUUGCUGGCUCAUGUGUCAUUUCAAUGAGCGGGUGUUUGACAUUCUUUCCAUGCUGGAUCAGAUCAACCUAAUCCGAGGUCUUCAUCUGUGUUGCAAAAAGGGCAAAGCAGGAUGCCACUGACCACACAGGCACCUGCUUCUUUCUCCUGGCAGGUCUGGGCUACCAGCAUGGCAGGUGGUGCCCAAAGGCAGACUAUGCUUCCUUGGGGGAGAGAGCCAACAGAUGCCUCUGCUGCCCAUCAUGGGGCUGUAACUGCUCUGGACGGGGAGCUGAGCAUCCCUGGGGGUUCUUUAGAAUGAUCAUGACACAGAGGAGAGAAAUGAGGCCCAGUGAGGGACGUGAUUCAUCCCAGGACUCAGAGUAGGCAGAAGCAGAGGCAGAGGCAGAGGGGCGGCUGGGAUUUGGCCAUGUAUUGGCUGUCUUUUAUCCAGGUGCUUUCCAUGUCUGCCAGCAUCUGUGAGGAUGUUUGUGCGCACAUGCUUUUGUGCAUGCUCGUGCAUGCAUGUGUGUGCAGGGAGGAGCAGAGGAUAUGUACAGGGCACCCUUUGGAAGCAAGCCACAUGGAGAGGCCUGGAUUUCCCAGCUGAGGGCUCUUGCAACAGGAGGCAGAAGUGAUAAGUGCAUUUGCCUUGUAAACUCAGGGCAUGCCCUGCCUGGGUAAAGCAUAUCAGGAAUUGUGUCACAUACCAGAUGACUCCUGCUCGUAUUUCCUCUUUAUGGCCACCUGUGCUGGGCACUCCUGGGCCCCCUAUGAGAUCCCCAUGCACAGAGUCCAUCAUACCUGCUGGGCUGGCCAGCUCCCAGGCCCCCAUCUGCCCUCCCUGAGGAACAUGGGGCCUAGGAGGGAUCUGCUUCAUCUUCCUGUCUGUCCCGACACCCACAUGGUUCCUCACUCGGUGCUCUGCAAAUGGGAGGUGCCCAGCGAGAAGGGCCCACAGGAGAAGCCAGGCUACUAUGUCAGGAGGCCUUUUCUUGCACAUGUGGAGAAGACAGCUAGAAUGGGUGCCACCCCCAAAUAUCACCUGCCACAUGUCAUCAGACUUUCUUUAUCACCAUCAAAGUCCCUGGGGUGAGAAGAGGGUGGGGGGCACCCUCCUUUCAUCUGACACCUUGAAGCAGAGAUUUGUUCCUACCAAAAAGAGAACUGGACACAGAUGUGAAAGGAAGUUGGGGCCCCCAGGUCUACUCCCAUGGAUGAGCAAGUGUUUCCCAAAUGUGGCAUUCCCUGUGGGUGGCCUGCCCUUCCUUCCUUGACCCACCCAGAGGAUACCCCAGCUGUGGUGGACAGUUCAUGCACACACAAAGGCUCUGCACCCCAGCAACCACUGCUCUUUGCUUUUAGGGGUUCUUUGGUCGUGGAAGGGGCUUAGCCCUGCAGGGCAGGCUGGAAGUGCUGGGAGUGAGUGAACUCCCUAAGUGGGGCUCUCAGCUCUGAGGGACAGGGGCUCCUAGAGAAAUGGCCUGGCUUCCUGAUGAGUUCUACAGCCCCUCAGAAUCCUGGAGGGGUUAGGUCCCCAUUACAGACAAGGGAACCCUGCUCCUUGGCACAUCUGUAAUUGGCUUUCCUCUUCCUCUUCUUACUUCUCCCCUUCCUCACAGUGCUUCCUGUGACCACCUCCCAGAUAAACCCCAUCCUUGUUGGGGGGCCUGUUUUUAGGCAAACCCCAACUAAGGCAGGAAGCUCCCCACACUAUAGUGGAGGGAGCCAGGAUGCCAAGCACUGGGUGCCCCAGCUCUCUGGCUCACCAGCCACGAGGUGCCAGGCACGUCCCUUGACUUCUCCAAGCCUGUUUCCAUGUUUGUAACAUGAGGGUUAAUGCGCCACCAUUCUGAGUCUGCCUCUUAAAUGCUGUAGGAAUUAAAUUCAUUCAGGAUUGCCACCGGUCAGAAGCACAGGCUAUAUGCUAUAGAUCUGGAUUACAAGAUUAAAGAUCAAUACAGCAUUGUACAGCAGCAAGUGUUAAAUUGGGUGACAAAUGCUAAACAGAGCUUGGAGUGAGACAAAGGAAGGAUAUAGUCGAAGAAGGUUUCCUGGAAGAGGUAAGGAUUGAGUUGGCCUUAAAGGAGGGGUGGGUCCAGGUAGGUUGGGGCCCAAGGCUCGAGGGGAGAGCUUGGGAAGAGGCCUCUGGAGGCAGCCUGCAAGGGUGUGGGAGCUCCUCUACCUAUCAGGGAAUCUUUUCAAUCCUGGCCAAUGGCAGUGGGCCAUGUAUUGUGCCACAUGGGAGGUGUUGGGGCUGUAGUAAUGUUUCUGUUUUCAUGACUGUCUAUAAUUUUCUAUGAAAAAGGGGUAGUGGGAGUGUAUGGAUAGUUUAAAGAGACACUGUCCACCUUUUACCUUCUCAACUCAUCGCGUAUUAUCCCUUUUCUGUCCCUUUCCACCCCAUUCCCAUUUUACCCUCCCAUCUCAUCCCAUUGUGUGCCUUUCCUUCCCUUUCCUCUCCUCCCACCCUGUCCCAUGUCACUCUGUCCCUUCCCUUCUGUCUCCUCCCCUAGCACCCAUUCCAUCUUGUUCUGCCUCAUCCCAUCCCAUCCCAUCCCAUCCCAUCCCAUCCCAUCCCAUCCCAUUUCAUCCCAUUCCCAUCCCAUUUCAUCCCAUCCCAUCCCAUUUCAUCCCAUUCCCAUCCCAUUUCAUCCCAUCCCAUCCCAUCCCAUCCCAUCCCAUCCCAUCCCAUCC